GAUGAACGCUGACAGAAUGCUUAACACAUGCAAGUCUUUGGCGAAGCUGUGCUUGCACAGCCUAGCCAAGGCGGACGGGUGAGUAACGCGUAAGGAACUUGCCCUGCAGUCAGGGAUAACAGACGGAAACGACUGAUAAGACCUGGUAAAGUCAGGCGGACUCAUGUCCAGCCUGAUGAAAAGAGAUGCUGCAGGAGAGCCUUGCGUCCUAUUAGCUUGUUGGUGGGGUAACGGCCCACCAAGGCGAUGAUAGGUAGCCGGCCUGAGAGGGUGGACGGCCAGAAGGGGACUGAGAGACGGCCCUGACUCCUACGGGAGGCAGCAGUGGGGAAUAUUGGACAAUGGGGGCAACCCUGAGCCAGCAAUUCUGUGUGCACGAUGAAGGUUUUCGGAUUGUAAAGUGCUUUCAGCAGGGAAGAAAAAAUGACGGUACCUGCAGAAGAAGCGACGGCUAAAUACGUG
rnacentral:rRNA from 1 species